AUGGCUUGUGCCACCGCUCGGUCCCCGGCUGGCCGACCAGGACAGGUUCAUUUGUAUCUAUCCUGCUUAUUUAAAUAACAAGAAGACCAUCGCGGAGGGGAGGUGAAUCCCCAUAAGUAAGAAAAAUAAAAUGUACUCUAGAGAGUGGAAUCGUGAUGUUCAGUACAGGGGCAGGGUCCGGGUCCAGCUCAAACAGGAAGACGGCAGCCUCUGUCUCGUACAGUUCCCAUCACGUAAGUGAGUAAUGUUGUAUGUAGCAGAAAUGAUACCCAAACUAAAAACAAGGACACAAAAAAUAGGAGGUGGUGACCAAAGUCUUCAGCAAGGAGAGGGAAGUAAAAAAGGGACAGGAAAGAAGAAGUGACCGGAUAUGAGUCAAUCAAGUCUGUGGUACUACUGUGAUAAGACAGUGAAUGAAGGCUUCUAAUUUAUAUCUCAGAGACAUGGAAGCUUUUUAUUUGCAUCAUUUAACCGAACUAUGGAUAUCUCUGCCUCCCAGCUUCAGCAUCAGAGUUGACAAUGAAAUAAAUAUACAUCAGAAGUUUGCAUCUAGCUUUUAUGUAGUAUAAAAGAAAAUUUUUU